rnacentral:rRNA from 1 species
AUACGUAGGGGGCGAGCGUUGUCCGGAAUUAUUGGGCGUAAAGGGUGCGUAGGCGGCCUUUUAAGUCAGGUGUGAAAUCCAUGGGCUCAACCUGUGUAAGCACUUGAAACUGGAAGGCUUGAGUUAAGGAGAGGAAAGUGGAAUUCCUAGUGUAGCGGUGAAAUGCGUAGAUAUUAGGAGGAAUACCAGUGGCGAAGGCGACUUUCUGGCCUUUAACUGACGCUGAGGCACGAAAGCGUGGGGAGCAAACAGGAUUAGAUACCCUGGUAGUCCACGCCGUAAACGAUGAGUGCUAGGUGUUGGAGGGAUUACCCUUCAGUGCCGCAGCUAACGCAUUAAGCACUCCGCCUGGGGAGUACGUGCGCAAGCAUGAA